rnacentral:lncRNA from 1 species
UAAAGACAGAGUGUAGCAAUAAAAAAAUACUUUAUUUAAUUUUGUAAAGAUAUUAGAUUUUAUCGAUCACAAAGAUUGAUAACAAUAUUCCAAUACUUUCAUCAAAAAAUAGAGCAUUAUAUUUUUAUAUACAUUUUUCUCUGACUUUUAAUUUCAAAUUUUUGGAUUUGCAGAAAGUAAAUAAAUUAUCGAAAGGAAGAAACUUAGAUAAUCUUUCAAUCUCUAAUUUCUGAUUCUACUGCAAAGAGUAAUUAUUUAAAAAAAUUUAAU